UGUCGCUGUAGACGUCAGGGUGAGGCAUGGGGUCGGGGUCAUUGGAAUUCAGGUCGUAACUGCCCUCUGGACUCUGGAGAGGAACACAAAAUCAUUAACUUUUCUCUGCUGAUGCAAGCACACAGCUCCUUACAGUAAAGAUAAAAACUGAGUGAGCAAGAGAACAAAGAUACACAUCCUCACCAGAUGCCACUGUUUAGGGUAUUGGGGAUCAUUGAAGGCCAUCGAUCUCUUUGAGCGGCUGAG